rnacentral:rRNA from 1 species
AACGAACGCUGGCGGCAUGCCUAACACAUGCAAGUCGAACGAGAUCUUCGGGUCUAGUGGCGCACGGGUGCGUAACGCGUGGGAAUCUGCCCUUUGGUUCGGAAUAACAGUUGGAAACGACUGCUAAUACCGGAUGAUGACGAAAGUCCAAAGAUUUAUCGCCAGAGGAUGAGCCCGCGUAGGAUUAGCUAGUUGGUGUGGUAAAGGCGCACCAAGGCGACGAUCCUUAGCUGGUCUGAGAGGAUGAUCAGCCACACUGGGACUGAGACACGGCCCAGACUCCUACGGGAGGCAGCAGUGGGGAAUAUUGGACAAUGGGCGAAAGCUUGAUCCAGCAAUGCCGCGUGAGUGAUGAAGGCCUUAGGGUUGUAAAGCUCUUUUACCCGGGAUGAUAAUCACAGUACCGGGAGAAUAAGCUCCGGCUAACUCCGUGCCAGCCGCCGCGGUAA